rnacentral:lncRNA from 1 species
CGGACUGAGACCCUAAUUACGUGUUCGUACUUGCUGGUCAUCGGAGGUUUGGAGGCCAUGUUACGGGGGCGAACUCAACGUUAGCCUGCGCCAUUUUCAGAAGGAGCAGCAGCAGACUGUGCGAAGCAUUUAGAACAAACAUUUAUAGAGGUCCCCGCAGCUGCUUUUUUGCUUGAUUAGAGGAUGAUUUCGUCUGACCAUUUGGUCAGUCAGGUGCUGAAUUGUUUAAUUUAUUAUUAUACAGUAAUAAUUGUAAGGUUUGGGAGAACCCAGGAUCUAGUUGGUGCCGUACACUUUUUUACACUGUGCAUUGCAGUUUAAACCGGUCUCCGUCAAAGACUCACAGUGAACUAGUGAAGCAUGAGGCUUCGAAAUUAUUCUUUUCCUUUUCCAUUUUCUGGACCCAGUUAAUGGGAAAAGGUAAAGGUAAUACUAAUUUGUUAUCUUAAGCUGUUGUUCAACAAUAUAGAGAAAUUAGUGGACUUCAUGGCGCCGCAUAACCAAAAUAAAGGUACUAGUAUUUGUAAGGAUUUUUUGGGUUUUUUCUUUCUAAAAGAUACUUACAAAUACUAGUUAGAAUAGUACUAUCUGCAUCAAAAAAAUGCAAUUCGAGAAAUAGUUUUCACUCGAGCCUAUGGACUCUGGUGACGGUGUGGUGACGGUGCCUGCUCAAUCCGAGUUUAAAUCUUUGAUUUGGCAUGAGUGUUUAUUUUUUUUCUAGAUUUAUUUUAAGAUUUAUUAAUUUUAUUUUUCUGGUGGUAGACGACGUACUAAUCAACAGUAAGAUGCCUCUGAUAAAUUUUUUAACUUCAGGAUCUAUUGGCUUAGUCUUUUGAAAGUACUCAUUAGAUAGGAUUUGCUUGUGUGCGUUUAUAGAUCGGUGAGUGUGUGGAUGCCUUCGCCUUGUGGAAUCUAAAAAGAUUUAAGUUUAAUUAAACUAAAAAUAUACUAAUAAUUAACAUAUAUGUAUCAAUAGUUAUAUUCAGAAUAUAUUUUUAUAAUAUAUAUUUAAAUUAACUUCAUAAAUGCUGAUAUUAUUUUUAUAUAAAUUUAAUUGAAGUCUAGAUAGUUUGACUUGGACUAUCUAUAACUGUAUUUUAUUAAUGGGAGGAGUACAUGUGAAUGCUUGCUUAUACCUGUCUCAACAAAAGUUUUAUGAAAGUUUAAUGUGCAUUAAAUAGGGUGGCAAUAUACAAUGGUUGGAGAGACUAUGAGAAUUAAUUAAUGUGUCUAUAGUCGGUGGACCAAAAUAUAAAAAGCGAUGAGAGGCGAUGGGAGGCGAUAGGUGUGUCUAUGGUCGGUGGGCCAUAGGCGUCACAUCACCUCUGAAAUUAUGGGGAUUAGGACUCUAAAUAGAGGAGUGGUAAUUUAUUUUUCAUAUUUCUUUUUUUAAUGAAGAGUAAAAGAAUAAAUUCAUAAUUAUAAAAAUAAUUAUGUAAAAUAGCAUAGUUAAGGUGUAUGAUUCAAGUAUUAUAGUUAAUUAGAUAAAAAUCUUCUUCUUAAUUUUUUUUAAAAAUCUUCUUAGGGUUCCACCCGCCGGUGUCCACCGGUGCAUGUUACAAGCAGCCGUCACCAUUGAUGAUAGAGGUUGGGGUUUAAGAGAACCUUAUAUAAUGAUGUUAUUACCUUUUACGAAUUAAAUCGAGAAAAAAAUUAACAGAGAUGAUGAGAGACGAUUGGAAACGGUUCUAACUAUUGUAAAAGGUCAUAGGAUUCUCAAUUCUUAUGUUAAAAAUAGUGUAAAAGAUUUUUAUCUCAAUGAAACACAUU